AUUGAACGCUGGCGGCAGGCCUAACACAUGCAAGUCGAAUGGUAACAGGAAACAGCUUGCUGUUUCGCUGACGAGUGGCGGACGGGUGAGUAAUGUCUGGGAAACUGCCUGAUGGAGGGGGAUAACUACUGGAAACGGUAGCUAAUACCGCAUAACGUCGCAAGACCAAAGAGGGGGACCUUCGGGCCUCUUGCCAUCAGAUGUGCCCAGAUGGGAUUAGCUAGUAGGUGGGGUAACGGCUCACCUAGGCGACGAUCCCUAGCUGGUCUGAGAGGAUGACCAGCCACACUGGAACUGAGCCACGGUCCAGACUCCUACGGGAGGCAGCAGUGGGGAAUAUUGCACAAUGGGCGCAAGCCUGAUGCAGCCAUGCCGCGUGUAUGAAGAAGGCCUUCGGGUUGUAAAGUACUUUCAGCGGGGAGGAAGGGAGUAAAGUUAAUACCUUUGCUCAUUGACGUUACCCGCAGAAGAAGCACCGGCUAACUCCGUG
rnacentral:rRNA from 1 species